GACGAACGCUGGCGGCGUGCUUAACACAUGCAAGUCGAACGAAGUGGCGAACGGGUGAGUAAUACGUGGGUAACCUGCCCUCCUUUUUGGGAUAAGCCUUGGAAACGGGGUCUAAUACUGAAUAAAGGGGGAUGGGCUCGCGGCCUAUCAGCUUGUUGGUGGGGUGAUGGCCUACCAAGGCGGUGACGGGUAGCCGGCCGGAGAGGGUGAACGGCCACAGUGGGACUGAGAUACGGCCCAGAGUCAUACGAGAGGCAGCAGUGGGGGAGAGUGCACAAUGGGCGAAAGCCUGAUGCAGCGGUGCCGCGUGGGGGAUGAAGGCGUUCGGGUUGUAAAACACUAGCGCGAUCGAAAGGGUGGGUGGAGAAGUAGCGCCGGCUAACUACGUGCCAGCAGCCGCGGUAAUAC
rnacentral:rRNA from 1 species